GAAUCUCAGCCGCCCAUUUUCCCCACGGCCUCUGCCUUACCCCUCUGUAAUUCUUUUUCCCUCUCCUCUUUCCCGCACCGCUGCUACCAGCUGCUGCUUUCUUUUGCCGUUGGUGCUGCUGCUGCUGAGGCUGCUGUUGUUGGUGGGCGUAAUGGUUAUUAUUUGGCGGGAAAUAGUUGCAUCCCAAACAACCUUGAAUGUUGCACACUUGACACGUGUCGGCAGGAGGCAGCAUCGCAUUCCCAAAAUUAGUGUUGUAGUUAUUAUAACUCGUGGACGUGGAGGCGAUGGCUGCUGCGUUAGACGCCGUCCAAUCUUGAAAUCGAAAAAUAUCGGCGGAGAAAUCGUUGUCUGUGUUUCCGACGACGACGUUUUCGAGCGCUGCGACCAUGAUGG
rnacentral:lncRNA from 1 species